rnacentral:rRNA from 1 species
UACGUAGGUGGCGAGCGUUGUCCGGAUUUACUGGGCGUAAAGAGCGCGCAGGCGGUCGUUCAAGUCGCGUGUGAAAGCCCCCGGCUCAACUGGGGAGGGUCACGCGAUACUGAUCGACUCGAAGGCAGGAGAGGGAAGCGGAAUUCCCGGUGUAGUGGUGAAAUGCGUAGAUAUCGAGAGGAACACCUGCGGCGAAGGCGGGUUGCUGGGCUGACACUGACGCUGAUGCGCGAAAGCCAGGGGAGCGAACGGG